rnacentral:rRNA from 1 species
CCUACGGGGGGCUGCAGUCGAGAAUCAUUCACAAUGGGGGAAACCCUGAUGGUGCGACGCCGCGUGGGGGAAUGAAGGUCUUCGGAUUGUAAACCCCUGUCAUGUGGGGGCAAAUUAAAAAGAUAGUACCACAAGAGGAAGAGACGGCUAACUCUGUGCCAGCAGCCGCGGUAAUACAGAGGUCUCAAGCGUUGUUCGGAAUCACUGGGCGUAAAGCGUGCGUAGGCUGUUUCGUAAGUCGUGUGUGAAAGGGGCGGGCUCAACCCGCGGAAGGCACAUGAUACUGCGAGAAUAGAGUAAUGGAGGGGGAACCGGAAUUCUCGGUGGAGCAGUGAAAUGCGUAGAUAUCGAGAGGAACACUCGUGGCGAAGGCGGGUUCCUGGACAUUAACUGACGCUGAGGCACGAAGGCCAGGGGAGCGAAAGGGAUUAGAUGCCCUAGUAGUC